GAAAGAGUUUUGUGGAAGGGCAAAUAGAUUUGGGAUCUCCAGGUGUACAUGCCUCAGGAUUGCCUUUCCUCCCGCCCUUCCCUUUUCCUGCAAAAUCCAGCCGUGGGAACUUCUCAAGUAGUUUGGAAAACGCAGCACUGAAAAUUAUACUUGGCGAGUACGGCACUGGGAGGACAAGAAAUAGAACAUUUCUUUCUUUUCUUAAAUCUACCUUAGGCCUGCCUCCUCGUUCCUGGGACUCCCUGUACCACCGGCACCCCAAGAUGAAGAAGGUUUUGGAGGACAAAGCCUCAAAGCCCAGACCUGAUUCUGAACCUUCCCGGGCCCUGGCAGACACCGUUAGCUGUUCCUGACUUCGAAUGGACAAAGUAGCUGAUGCCAAAGAAACAAGGGAGUUUGCAGCAGGACUUAGAAGCGAGUCACUUACAGCGGAGGUAAUGAGGAUAUAACAUGUCAAUAUUGCACAUACAUAGCCAAAUAUGACAGCGCUAAAUAAUUCAGAGAGAAAGCUGACAGCUC
rnacentral:lncRNA from 1 species